GAUGAACGCUGGCGGCGUGCCUAAUACAUGCAAGUCGAGCGAACGGACGAGAAGCUUGCUUCUCUGAUGUUAGCGGCGGACGGGUGAGUAACACGUGGAUAACCUAUCUAUAAGACUGGGAUAACUUCGGGAAACCGGAGCUAAUACCGGAUAAUAUUUUGAACCGCAUGGUUCAAAAGUGAAAGACGGUCUUGCUGUCACUUAUAGAUGGAUCCGCGCUGCAUUAGCUAGUUGGUAAGGUAACGGCUUACCAAGGCAACGAUGCAUAGCCGACCUGAGAGGGUGAUCGGCCACCCUGGAACUGAGACACGGUCCCGACUCCUACGGGAGGCAGCAGUAGGGAAUCUUCCGCAAUGGGCGAAAGCCUGACGGAGCAACGCCGCGUGAGUGAUGAAGGUCUUCGGAUCGUAAAACUCUGUUAUUAGGGAAGAACAUAUGUGUAAGUAACUGUGCACAUCUUGACGGUACCUAAUCAGAAAGCCACGGCUAACUACGUG
rnacentral:rRNA from 1 species